AAUUUUGGAAGAGAUGCAUUUAUUAGAUAAAAAACCAAUACAUACUUUUUCAAGUAUGAAAUUUGGUGAUUUACAAUAACUUAGCAAAUCGCAUAGUGAAAACAGGCGAUAAAUCAUUCAAGUUUCUGACCUAUCAGCUUUCGACGGUAUGGUAUUGGCUUACCGUGGCAGUGACGGUUAACGGGGGAUUAGGGUUCGAUUCCGGGGAGGGAGCCUGAGAAACGGCUACCACAUCUAAGGAAGGCAGCAGGCGCGCAAAUUACCCAAUUCUAACAGCAUAAGAGAGGUAGUGACAAGAAAUAACAAUACAAGGCAGUUAAAAUGCUUUGUAAUUGGAAUGAUAGAAAUUUAAACACUUUUUAAAGUAUCAAUUGGAGGGCAAGUCUGGUGCCAGCAGCCGCGGUAAUUCCAGCUCCAAUAGCGUAUAUUAAAAUUGUUGCAGUUAAAAAGCUCGUAGUUGAAUUUCUGUUAAAAAUAACCGGUCUGCUUUUAAUAAAAGUGGUAUCUUGGUGUGUUUUUAGCAAUAAUGUCCUUUGAAAUGUUUUUUACUUUAUUGUAAUAAAUAAUAUUCAGGAUUUUUACUUUGAGAAAAUUAGAGUGUUUCUAGCAGGCUAACGCUUUGAAUACUGCAGCAUGGAAUAAUAAAAUAGGAUUUUAGUUCUACAUUAUUGGUUUUAAGAACUAAAUUAAUGAUUGAUAGGGACAGUUGGGGGCAUUUGUAUUUAACUGUCAGAGGUGAAAUUCUUAGAUUUGUUAAAGACAAACUACUGCGAAAGCAUUUGCCAAAGAUGUUUUCAUUAAUCAAGAAC
rnacentral:rRNA from 1 species